rnacentral:snRNA from 1 species
UUCUUAGCUAGCUAGAGACAAAUUCAAAAUUGGAUACGAUACAAAGAAGAUUAGCAUGGGCCCUGCGCAAGGAUGACACGCGACAAUCGUGAAGCGUUUCCAUAUUUU